rnacentral:rRNA from 1 species
AACGCGAAGAACCUUACCAGGUCUUGACAUCCGCUGACAAUCUUGGAGACAAGACGUUCCCUUCGGGGACAGCGUGACAGGUGGUGCAUGGUUGUCGUCAGCUCGUGUCGUGAGAUGUUGGGUUAAGUCCCGCAACGAGCGCAACCCUUGAUUCUAGUUGCCAGCAUUAAGUUGGGCACUCUAGAGUGACUGCCGGUGACAAACCGGAGGAAGGUGGGGAUGACGUCAAAUCAUCAUGCCCCUUAUGACCUGGGCUACACACGUGCUACAUGGAUGGUACAAAGGGCAGCAAAGUCGCGAGGCUAAGCAAAUCCCAUAAAACAAUUCUCAGUUCGGAUUGCAGGCUGCAACUCGCCUGCAUGAAGCCGGAAUCGCUAGUAAUCGCGGAUCAGCAUGCCGCGGUGAAUACGUUCCCGGGCCUUGUACACACCGA